ACGAGUCAUCAGCAAAAGAGUGAGCAUCAUCAACAUUCAUAUUAGGGAUUCCAAUAGGAAGUUUGGUCGUUUGUCAAAAAAACAAAAGAGGUUUGGUCAAACUAACUCUAGUAUUACUAUUACCUCUAAUUGUUCGUUUGUCCAUCCAGAGGGCUAUGAAUUUCCUCGACUUAAUUAAAUAUUCAGAGUAUUACACAUAUCCAAUUGUUGUGAGAAUACGAGGGAAUUAU
rnacentral:lncRNA from 1 species